CCUACGGGUGGCUGCAGUCGAGAAUCUUCCGCAAUGGGCGAAAGCCUGACGGAGCGACGCCGCGUGGUAGAUGAAGCUUUUCGGAGUGUAAAUACCUUUUAUGACCGAGGAAAUUUUUGACGGUAGGUCAUGAAUAAGAGGCUGCUAACUCUGUGCCAGCAGCAGCGGUAAUACAGAGACCUCAAGCGUUAUCCGGAAUCACUGGGCGUAAAGGGUGCGUAGGUUGUUUUGUUAGUUCUUCGUCAAAACCUCCGGCUUAACCGGAGACACGCGGGGAAUACGGCAAAACUAGGAGGGUAUGAGAGGCGCGCGGAACUCAUGGUGUAGGGGUGAAAUCCGUUGAUAUCAUGGGGAACACCAAAAGCGAAGGCAGCGCGCUGGCAUAUUCCUGACACUGAGGCACGAAAGCGUGGGGAGCAAAUGGGAUUAGAUACCCCAGUAGUC
rnacentral:rRNA from 1 species